UACAGAGGUGGCAAGCGUUGUUCGGAAUCACUGGGCUUAAAGGGCGCGUAGGCGGGCUGCCAAGUCCGCGGUGAAAUCCCCCGGCUCAACCGGGGAACUGCCGCGGAUACUGGAAGUCUCGAGGGAGGUAGGGGCAUGCGGAACUGCGGGUGGAGCGGUGAAAUGCGUUGAUAUCCGCAGGAACUCCGGUGGCGAAGGCGGCGUGCUGGACCUCUUCUGACGCUGAGGCGCGAAAGCCAGGGGAGCGAACGGG
rnacentral:rRNA from 1 species